rnacentral:rRNA from 1 species
UACGUAGGGUGCGAGCGUUUGUCCGGAAUUAUUGGGCGUAAAGAGCUCGUAGGCGGUUUGUUGCGUCUAUCGUGAAAACCUGCAGCUUAACUGUGGGCUUGCGGUGGAUACGGGCAGACUUGAGUUCGGUAGGGGAGACUGGAAUUCCUGGUGUAGCGGUGAAAUGCGCAGAUAUCAGGAGGAACACCGGUGGCGAAGGCGGGUCUCUGGGCCGAUACUGACGCUGAGGAGCGAAAGCGUGGGGAGCGAACAGG